rnacentral:sRNA from 1 species
AAGUCGUAACAAGGUCUCCGUAGGUGAACCUGCGGAGGGAUCAUUACACAAUAACAAGGCGGGCUGGACACCCCCCGCUGGGCACUGCUUCACGGCGUGCGCGGCGGGGCCGGCCCUGCUGAAUUAUUCACCCGUGUCUUUUGCGUACUUCUUGUUUCCUGGGUGGGCUCGCCCGCCCUCAGGACCAACCACAAACCUUUUGCAAUAGCAAUCAGCGUCAGUAACAACGUAAUUAAUUACAACUUUCAACAACGGAUCUCUUGGUUCUGGCAUCGAUGAAGAACGCAGCGAAAUGCGAUACGUAGUGUGAAUUGCAGAAUUCAGUGAAUCAUCGAAUCUUUGAACGCACAUUGCGCCCUUUGGUAUUCCAAAGGGCAUGCCUGUUCGAGCGUCAUUUGUACCCUCAAGCUUUGCUUGGUGUUGGGCGUCUUUUGUCUCCAGUUCGCUGGAGACUCGCCUUAAAGUCAUUGGCAGCCGGCCUACUGGUUUCGGAGCGCAGCACAAGUCGCGCUCUUCGCCAGUCAAGGUCAGCGUCCAGCAAGCCUUUUUUUCAACCUUUGACCUCGGAUCAGGUAGGGAUACCCGCUGAACUUAAGCAUAUCAAUAAGCGGAGGCACAAGAAACCAACCGGGAUUGCCCUAGUAACGGCGAGUGAAGCGGCAACAGCUCAAAUUUGAAAUCUGGCUCUUUUAGAGUCCGAGUUGUAAUUUGCAGAGGGCGCUUUGGCUUUGGCAGCGGUCCAAGUUCCUUGGAACAGGACGUCACAGAGGGUGAGAAUCCCGUACGUGGUCGCUGGCUAUUGCCGUGUAAAGCCCCUUCGAC